rnacentral:rRNA from 1 species
UACGUAGGGUGCGAGCGUUGUCCGGAAUUACUGGGCGUAAAGAGCUCGUAGGUGGUUUGUCGCGUUGUCCGUGAAAACUCACAACUCAAUUGUGGGCGUGCGGGCGAUACGGGCAGACUGGAGUACUGCAGGGGAGACUGGAAUUCCUGGUGUAACGGUGGAAUGCGCAGAUAUCAGGAGGAACACCGGUGGCGAAGGCGGGUCUCUGGGCAGUAACUGACGCUGAGGAGCGAAAGCGUGGGGAGCGAACAGG